CCCUUAGAUGUUCUGGGCCGCACGCGCGCUACACUGAUGCAUUCAACGAGUUUCUUCCUGGUCCGAGAGGAAUGGGUAACCUUUUGAAAAUGCAUCGUGAUGGGGAUAGACUAUUGCAAUUAUUGGUCUUCAACGAGGAAUUCCUAGUAGACGUAGUUCAUCAGACUGCAUCGAUUACGUCCCUGCCCUUUGUACACACCGCCCGUCGCUCCUACCGAUUGAAUGCUCAGGUGAGCCAUUCGGACUUUCAUCAUGCUGGUUUCCAGUUUUGAUGAAGGAAAGUCUUGCGAACCUUAUCAUUUAGAGGAAGGAGAAGUCGUAACA
rnacentral:rRNA from 1 species